GAUCACCAGAGCCCGAACGAGGUCACUCCCGACCCUCCCUCCCGGUACUUUGACUCGUGGCGUUGGGGGUAUUUCUUUGAACUCACUGAGGGUUGGUGGUGGCGCGCGUGUGCAUGGAAGAAGGAGUUUUUUACUUUGUUCUAUGCUUUUUGCUUCAAAAUACGCCUUUCCCUGCCGGUGAACUUACAUACUACUUGUCAACCAUCAUCCCUCCUCAGUGACCUCGGAGGGCGAUGGUGAUCGUAAAAUUACGAUCAAUUUCUCACCUUACAGGUAAGUCUCGAUUAAUCGUCAAUAACAUAACAUCCAGGCCAACCCUAUCCUCCCUAAGCAACGUUAUCCUAUCCUCCCUUUCUAUCUAUAGCUGCAUUACGUAUUAUUAUUAUUAUAUGUCCAUGCACCUCCACACGGGAUUGUUAACAAUUGUUCUUCUUCCAGCUUUAAUAUUCAUGAUGUGCAUAUAAAAAUCUCUUGAGCAUGAAGACCAAAGUUGAGCUGGUCCUGCUGUUACAUCCAAUCCAACCAACAACCUCCCAACCACGUCUUAUUUUAUUGUGGUGUUCCAUUCUUCUUUUACUGCUCAACACUGUGCUCCAGCCAACAAUACUGUUGAUGAAUUUUAGGACAAAAAACGACCAUAAUCAACCACUUUACAUGAAUCAUCUAAUGGACGAAUAAGAAGACGGGAGAUCAUGAUUCCUGAUGCUCUCCUUGAUUGCUCCACCAACCCACAUUCCCUCUCAGAAUUUCCAGCUUGGAGCUAUUUCACAUCAUUUCUACCCACUUUUUGCCUGCCUGGCACCUUUUCUUAUGAAUGACCAACCGGAUGAAAUCAAUCUAACCACCUCAGUUCAAGCUCACUCGCAUUAUGUAUGGCAGCUAAUCCAUCGAAGCACAGUCGGCAUAAAACUGUACGCUAACUAACUAACUACUCUCUAUCUUGGAAUUCCUGAUUAUAAAUUACACAUGAAAUUUAGAUGCCUACAUAUAUGCUACCAACAAAUACUACUCCAUGUACAUUAUUACGUACUAGCCACACUGUGAGCCAUUUCAUUGCAAAAAUUCCAUUUGCUUUAUCGCAAAUGCAUAUUUCUACUCCGUUCCCAGAUAUUUUCAGCGAAAUAGAUAUUCAGACACCUUUGCUUCCACGAAUCGUUGUUCACAAGCCAUAUAUUUUCGGAAUUGUUAAAAUUGAUUACGGUAAGAAUGGGUGUGUUUGAGCUGUUCAUCAUGAAGGAGAAUAGACUAUACAGAACUUGAAUGUGGAGUAUGAAGCUGAAAUAUGACAUGCGAAGAAGAAAUGUGAAGUGAAAGCAUUAUUUGAGUCCUUCAUGGUCCCGGCCAGCAUAUAGUAAAUAAACUUUGCAGCAGUUGGGUCUUGGUCGUCGUUCGUCCCUUGCUGCUGCUUGGUUAGUGAGAUAGGGCAAAGAAUAAUAAGAAUCACUUUGAAGUCUCCCCAAGAGCAACAAUGGAGCUGAAUGAAGGGUAGAGAGAGCACAAUAAAUUUUACGAGGAGGAUGGGGAUGAAACGGAUAAUGUUUGACCCUUGCCUGCCUGCCUGCCUGCUACACCCGUAUAAUGUACCCUUGAAUAGUUCAAUGUCUUGACAAUGAAACGAAAGUCGUCCUUUUAAAUUUAAUCCGUUUUCACAAUGCUUCAAUGAAGCUAAAGUUUGUAAAUCAGCAUGAGCCGUCGUUAUUCCAAACUAUUUUACUAUUCACUCUUCAAAUUUAACAGGGUGUUUAAAAAUUACCAUUAAAUACAAUACAAUUUAUUUUCAGCAAGAGUUAAACGUCAAGUUGACAGUAGGGAUAGUGCCAGAAAAACUGUGUUCUUCGCAGUUUACAUGCAUAUUAUCGCUCAUCUAUUAGCUAUUAUGCGAGUGUUGCUGGUAAUCAAAAAUAAUGGAAUGCUACACAUAUUUAUAUGCAUACAGCGGAGGUUGAUGUAAAUAUACAUUAAUUGAUUAAUUUUGCGAAUCAUAUAAUCAACGUCAGUGGUUUUUGCAUCAUAGGUAGAAGUUUGAUGAACUAUACGAGAAAGAGGGCGACAUUUAAUUUGUAUUUAUUUGUACUUUCGUGUAGAUAAAUAUGUAUGUAUGUAUGUAGGUAUGCACACUUACAACUUCUGUAUAAAUAUUUAUACAUACAUAGAUGUCUGAUCCAGCUUAUUUGGUAUUUGUUAAACAAAAACUAAAGUUCAAUCAAAUUCAAACUGUUGAUUAAAUAGACACGCAUAUUCGUCUUGUCUAAUUGUCUUUUUAAUACAAGGAAACAUGUUUAUCUGAGAAUUGAAAUGAACUGAAUUAUUAGCUAGUAUGCAGAUAUCAAAUUUAAGAUACUGGAUGAAUUGAAUUACUGGUUUGAAGUAGGAAAUUGUGGUCCGGCUUUUUAUGCAUGAGACUAUGAUACUGCAUACAUAUUUACGUAGAUGGAUGUACAUAUAUAAUAUGUACUACCUCCAAAUGCGCAUUAGAAGGAAGUGCCUAAGAGCGUGAGACAAUUUAAAUCUGUUCAACAAAUGUCAUUCAUUUCGGUUGAACGUAAUGUUAAACGUACAAUGCCUGCCAAUAAUACACCAAUAAUAUAUUUAGUGGUGUCUUGUUGCGCUAUAUAACUAACUCAUCAGAGCAUUUUGUUUCACAUCCAAGGUUUUUGAUAAGUCUUUUGUGUGUUAUGCAUAACAUUGUACUUUUUGCUCAUCCUCAAUGCUAAAAGGAUAUUAUGUGUGUGCAUAAGUACAUAUGCACGUAUUGACGAUAUUAAUGAACAAACUGGCAACCACAUCUGCACAGAAUGAUAAAUUAUGUCCUUGUUUCUGACUGUUUGUGAAAAUCAAUGCAUGCUCAAUUUAAAUGCUUUCCGGUUUUAUGUGAGCCGAGAGUGUAUGUAUAUUCGCUUCUGAAAAUAGUCAGCAAGAAAUCUCUCAAAAAAGGUCUGAAACCCCGUGUGCGAUGCACCAAGUCCCUUUUCACUAUGUUUUUUUAAUGGAAGUGUAAAGUAAGUGAAAUUUAAGACUCCUCGGGGAACUGGUGGCAGUGAAACUCCUGAUGAGACUGGUGGUUCCAAGAAAAUUCUCUGCUGGUAUUGCAUUUAAAAAAAUCUUUUUGUGGGAGGCAAAGAAUAAAGAAAGUCUGUUGCGCUUACCCUAAUUCUUUGUACAUGCGUACAUACAUAGGCCUUUAGUAUAUGCCUCCAUAAAAAUCAGUAGGUUUGGAUGGUAAUUGGGUUUCAGUUUCUUUAACGAUUGUAAAUAUCCUCAUUAUAAGCAGUUCUUUAAAUUUACCCCAUUUCAAAUAUCAGCUAAAGGCAUUACCUUCAGCUUCAAUAGUCCAACUGCUUGCCUGAAACUUGAGUGGUUUGUCGCCCUUUUAGAUACUAAAUGGUACUUUCACAACAUCCAGCUCAAGAAAUUCUGUUGGAGAGUAUGGUUGACCUCAUAUAUACCGCACCGAUUUCUGCCUAUAUCCCUCAACAAGAAAGAACUGUCAGGUUGUUGUCAUUUAGCAAUCUGUUCUGUUGGAAUAAAUGAGUGUGACCCAACCUCAUUUUCCUUAUUCUCAGCUCAAAGUGCCGUGCUUUGAAGCAAUUGUCGGACAGAAUGGAUUUUCAGGAAUUUUGUCAGAGAACACUAGAUCGAUGGUGGUAUUAUAAUAAUAAUAACUCAUGGCCGAGUGCAAAAACCUUGUAUUUGGUACAACAUUUGAGACACCGUAUUCAUAUUUCAUCUAUGUAUGUUUAUUCAUUCUUAAAGUUAAGAGAUUUCUAAAGUAGUUUUAAUUUUAAUCUUAAAAUUUUAACCUUAAGGUAUUCAGUGCAUAAGCAUUAUUUACGAAGGGUCCAUCCUUUUCCUUUCACAACUCAGGAUUAGAGUUAUUAACAUCCGUUUUUUCAACGACCAAUAUGUCCAACGGGGUGCACUAGCCAUGAUAGUUGCGUACUGUUUAAUUAUUUCGCAUGAACUCUAGGAAAUUACCAUGAACUGAUCCAGUGCAGUACAGCAGAAUGAUAAUUGUAGUGUGGAUGGAUUCACGAUAAACACGCAGUUUUUGAGUUUUCAGUGCAAUAAGUACCUCACUUGGAUGGACUUCGUGUCGUGGGUUAUUUAACCAAAGUGACGUUUCUACAUCAAUUUCCAAAUAUAUUCGCGAUAAAAAUAUGAUGAUUUCUAUGAGUAAUUUUAAAAACCAGUAUGGGUCACCCCCUCUUGCCGUUUAUAGCCCAAGCCAGCGCUCAUGGAAUUAUAUGUCCGUACAAAAUAAAAUUGGUAUAUUUAUAUGAAUAAAGACAUGUUCUAUCCACUAUUUGACGGUUUGUUUAAAUAGGUUUUUGAUCAAGUCGAGUUGAGAUCUAGCAGCUAUCAAUGAAUAAUUGCCUCAUAAUAAUCAGAGUUUCCCUCUCAUAAUAUGAAUAAUCAGUAUCAUUCAUAUGUACAUAUGUAUUGUUGUAUGCGUAUAUUAAGAAUUAAAAAUAUUAAUGCUGACAGACAUUAGUCAAUUGUUGAAAAUAAUUCAGAUUCAAGUAAAAAACACUAAGAAUAGCAAUAAUAAGGUUCAACCUUGAGAUGAACGUCGCAAAGUACUUUUUCUUUUAACGAAUUGUUUUUAAUUUUGAGUUCAUUGAGGAACAAAAAUUUGGAGUGGUUUAUCUUAGUAUGAUAUCCGUAGGAGAUAAUAACAUUUUUCAACCAACCAACCAACCAACGUCAACACCACGGUUUAUGUGACCGUUGACCGUACAUUGUAAUAAGAUAACGUACACACGGGUUACAAAGAGUUCAACAUUUCAAAACAGUUCUUACAUACGUACUAAAAUACAUAAUGGGCGAUUAAUUUAAUACUAUCUCACAUUUACAAUUACUCAGUUUCUAUUAUUAUCGCUCGGUUCAAUACUCAUGUAUAGCUUAAAAACAUAGCACGAUCGUGGUGCUGCUGGUGGCUUUAAUGCACAUAUACUUAUUUAUGUGACUGCGUGGAGGAAGGCGAGGAGUUUCUAUUUUACGACUUAAAAUGUGAAUCACCAAACAUUACGUUUUCAUAGACUUGUUAUUAUACAAGAAUUAUCAUGUCAGUUAUUUACUGCUUGCGACGUAUUGAAAUAGUGAAUCCGUGGUCAAUAAGCAAGUGAAUUGAACAAUAUAUUUUACUGAUUGCAACUUUUUGAUAACAGUUUUGGGGCCCCAUAACGUCAUAUGUUAUGUCUAAAACAAUUAAAUGGGACAGUUAAUGAGGCUGAAAUUAGUAAAUUAGAGCACGAAUCCCAUGCUAUAAAGCAGUAGCUUUAGCCACUAAUGACAAUAAUCUUAAACAUGAAUAAAUUAGCACUUAAUUCCUAUUUCAUGAGGGCCUUGUGACUUGCAGCACUGCGAAUCAUGAAAAACGCUGCUUUGCCUCGAUCAAGAUCAAGGACAAUCAUUUGCAUACGUUGAGCAUACUUAAAAUAUUGUUGUGUCUGUUCUUUACGCUUGAUCUGCUUCACUUUUAUAAAACAAUCGACGUAUGUACAUGCAUGCAUACAGAUGUGUAUAACGAACACGCAUUCUAAUAGUGCAAGUUCAAUAUCUAUCUAGCAUUGAACACGGCUAAUAAUAAUGUUGUGCAUACGUAUGUAUGUACAUGCAUACAUUUAUCUAAAUACAUAAUAUAGAUUGUAUGUACAUCUAGUACUCUGUACAUUGACUAUUUUCGAUGAUUGCUUCUGCAGAACCCAGUAUUAAUCCAGAUCAGUUAUGUGCGAUAAAAAAGUGAACGACGAAUGCAAAAAUAUUUAUUAUUCAAUCAUAAUAAACCUAUGUACAUUUUUGGGUUAAUACAAAAUUAUAACAGCCAAUGCACUGCAAACUUAAUUUGUAAUUGUCACCUCAGUCGUUGUUCACAAUCAUCGUACUCUUAUCAUCUGAGAAAAAUGAUGGAUUUUGAGACUGUACCAUCAGGAAAAUACAAUGUACAUAUUCUUUUAUUAUUUCCGCAGUAUCUGCAACAUUUGUAUUGCAAAGAAGCAAAACUGACGGAUGAAUUAUAAGUUUGCAUUUAACAGCCAGCAUGAACCAGUGUGCUCAUCUAUUUCUACUGUGACUACAAUUAAAUUUAUUACCUUCGUUUCCAUCACAUAUUUACUGCAAGUCUCUGGUAGUGAGUUGCACAUCAUCAUCAGGAAUAGGAAUUCAAUUAUGGUUUACUAAUAUACACACAUGCAUAUUGGGAAGAUAGAAGGUCAGCAUCAUAAUUCACUUGUCUUCCCUCAUCAUUUAAUACUUUAACAAAGUAUAAAACAUUAAUGAAUCAAGAUUUGAAGAUCAAGGAUAAUGUAAUUGUUGGGUCAACCACACCACGGAUUUGAAACAUUUGAAACAACCUCUGCGCCAUUGGGUCAACUUAAUUAUCACAAUUUGAGAAAGAAUCCGACCUUGACUUUCCCCUCUCUUUAAGAGUAUGUAACUUGAGGAUUCUUCAUUUCAUGGGAUUCUUCUUUGACCAUUUGAGAUGGAGGAUGCCGGAGAAGAGCAGGGAACAAGUAAUAAUAAAGAAGCAAGAAGACUUAACUGUGGUCCAACUAAUAAAACAAGAAUAAAAGAAGUGUUGUUGUGUGCCAAGUGCCAGAAGGAAGAGAGUCAGGCAACGGAUGUGAGAAAAGGUGCAGCAGCAAUAGCAUAACAUCGACCAAGAGGCAACACAUUCAUGAAGGAGCAUUCCAUUUAGCUUUUUAGGGGACAAGUUAAUGAGUCAGAAUUAAAGCAAACGAGUGAAUGGUACUCUUUAAUUUCAGUCAGUCAAUUAUUUAUUUGACAAUAAAACUUUGCUGUGAGAGAGCAAAGAUUUGAAUUUGCUGGAGACGAGAUGCACUGAGAAUAAUCCCAUAUAAUCCCAUUAUUAUUAUCAUCUCUCUCUCUCUUUGAACCACCGCAGCGUCAGACAAGUCAGACUUCAAAGUGCGUGGUGGUUGUUACAAAUAUAUACUUGCACGUUGUAUGUGUAUCAUCAGUGAUAUUGAUGAGGGUGAGACAGGAUGUUGGAGCUCUUUGAAUGUUUGCUUUUUGUAACCAACCAUCCACCUUGAACCACUUUUUCCUUACUUCAUCCCUUGAUUAUCAGCAGCAAUUCAAAGUAAUCAGAUCCAGCAAAAACGUGAGGAUUAUGUAUGUGCCUUGAUAACUUUUAGAAACGAAAGAUCUACUAGCCUCGAGGAAUGGAGGAUACAAGUCUUACCUGUAUUUUUAGAUGCGAUUUUUGUAGGUUUGUAUAUGUAUGUACAUAUAUGUGUCUCAAUUCAAUAAAACACCCCAAACUUCUUGAAA